rnacentral:rRNA from 1 species
CAAGACCUCUCACCAUAGGAGCGGCCGAUGUCGGAUUAGCUAGUUGGUGGGGUCAAAGCCUACCAAGGCUACGAUCCGUAGCUGGUCUGAGAGGACGACCAGCCACACUGGAACUGAGACACGGUCCAGACUCCUACGGGAGGCAGCAGUGGGGAAUUUUGGACAAUGGGCGCAAGCCUGAUCCAGCCAUUCCGCGUGAGUGAAGAAGGCCUUCGGGUUGCAAAGCUCUUUCGCAAGGGAAGAAAACUUACUCAAUAACACUGGGUGAGGCUGACGGUACCUUGAUAAGAAGCACCGGCUAACUACGUGCCAGCAGCCGCGGUAAUACGUAGGGUGCGAGCGUUAAUCGGAAUUACUGGGCGUAAAGCGUGCGCAGGCGGUUUUGUAAGUCAGAUGUGAAAGCCCCGGGCUCAACCUGGGAACUG